rnacentral:rRNA from 1 species
GACGAACGCUGGCGGCGUGCCUAAUACAUGCAAGUUGAGCGAUGAAGAUUGGUGCUUGCACCAAUUUGAAGAGCAGCGAACGGGUGAGUAACGCGUGGGGAAUCUGCCUUUGAGCGGGGGACAACAUUUGGAAACGAAUGCUAAUACCGCAUAACAACUUUAAACAUAAGUUUUAAGUUUGAAAGAUGCAAUUGCAUCACUCAAAGAUGAUCCCGCGUUGUAUUAGCUAGUUGGUGAGGUAAAGGCUCACCAAGGCGAUGAUACAUAGCCGACCUGAGAGGGUGGUCGGCCCCAUGUGGACUGAGACCCGGCCCAAACUCCUUCGGGAGGCAGCAGGAGGGAAUCUUCGGCAAUGGACGAAAGUCUGACCGAGCAACGCCGCGUGAGUGAAGAAGGGUUUCGGAUCGUAAAACUCUGUUGGUAGAGAAGAACGUUGGUGAGAGUGGAAAGCUCAUCAAGUGACGGUAACUACCCAGAAAGGGACGGCUAACUACGUG